AUUGAACGCUGGCGGCAGGCCUAACACAUGCAAGUCGAGCGGAUGAAGGGAGCUUGCUCCUGGAUUCAGCGGCGGACGGGUGAGUAAUGCCUAGGAAUCUGCCUGGUAGUGGGGGAUAACGUCCGGAAACGGGCGCUAAUACCGCAUACGUCCUGAGGGAGAAAGUGGGGGAUCUUCGGACCUCACGCUAUCAGAUGAGCCUAGGUCGGAUUAGCUAGUUGGUGGGGUAAAGGCCUACCAAGGCGACGAUCCGUAACUGGUCUGAGAGGAUGAUCAGUCACACUGGAACUGAGACACGGUCCAGACUCCUACGGGAGGCAGCAGUGGGGAAUCUUGGACAAGGGGCGAAAGCCUGAUCCAGCCAUGCCGCGUGUGUGAAGAAGGUCUUCGGACUGUAAAGCACUUUAAGUUGGGAGGAAGGGCAGUAAGUUAAUACCUUGCUGUUUUGACGUUACCAACAGAAUAAGCACCGGCUAACUUCGUG
rnacentral:rRNA from 1 species